UUCAGCAGCAACUUUUCCUUGCUCCUUAGUUGUAGUUCCCUUUAUAUUUUUUCUUGUCUCCUCCGUUCCCGCCGUUUAUCUCCCGUCACACCUUUUAUUUUCCUUCCCGGCCCACUCGUGCUCCUCCACCUCUUCCCCCCGCUCGGGCUUGCCGUGUCAUAUUUACAAUUUCCGUGUAGCUGCCCUGAGCAGGGAGGGCAAGGCAGGCUGGCUGGGCAUGGCCCGAGCCACGAGAUGGAACUGUUUAUGUUUUUCCUCCAGCCUCCUUCUCUCUUAAAAUCGUGGAUAAAAGCUUCAUGCGUUUCUGUUAAACACAAGAUCGAAGAAGACGGUUUCAUAGGUUGGCCGGGAACAGAGAUUCGGGGAGAAAAGUGAAGAACUUCUGCCUUUCCCCGUGGAGAAUCCUUUAAAAAUUCUUACAAAAAAAAAAAAAGGAAGGAAGAAGACGCGAACUCUGCCGUUUGCGCGGCUCUGCAGCGCUGGUCCCCGGAGGCGAUGUGGAAAGCCCAGACCCGAGAACGGCGGCCGGGCGCGGUGCGGUGCGACGCCCGCGCCCCCAGCUGCACACCGGCGUACGGCACCCCGUAGCCUGCUCCUUUCAAAGAGCAGGUUCCGCUUAGGCUACACGGUGAGUUUCCUUUAGUCUGUGCGCGAAACUGUACCCGCUCCCGAGCGUGUCCACCCCAAACCCUUCUGAAUCCCCCCCCCCCCAUCUUAAACGUCCCCUUUGAGUUUGUUUAAAUCCUAUUUUUGUGUUCUGUUCCAUAUGGGCUGUUACACCGCCCUCAUCAACGUAGUGUAUUAGUGCCCUCCAAUCACUACUCAUCAGGAAAAUAUACUUUUUACAAAGUCCUAUUUUUUAAAAGGCAACCGGCGAGACUAGAGUUUGAGUGAAAGAGAAGCAAAGCCAUAUUCACGCGGAAUAUCUUCCCGCGGGUGUCCUGGUUUCGGCUGGGAUAGAGUUAAUUUUCUUUCUAGUAGCUGGUAUAGUGUUAUGUCUUGGAUUUAG